rnacentral:rRNA from 1 species
AGUAGGGAAUCUUCCACAAUGGACGAAAGUCUGAUGGAGCAACGCCGCGUGAGUYAAGAAGGGUUUCGGCUCGUAAAACUCUGUUGUUAAAGAAGAACAUAUCUGAGAGUAACUGUUCAGGUAUUGACGGUAUUUAACCAGAAAGCCACGGCUAACUACGUGCCAGCAGCCGCGGUAAUACGUAGGUGGCAAGCGUUGUCCGGAUUUAUUGGGCGUAAAGCGAGCGCAGGCGGUUUUUUAAGUCUGAUGUGAAAGCCUUCGGCUCAACCGAAGAAGUGCAUCGGAAACUGGGAAACUUGAGUGCAGAAGAGGACAGUGGAACUCCAUGUGUAGCGGUGAAAUGCGUAGAUAUAUGGAAGAACACCAGUGGCGAAGGCGGCUGUCUGGUCUGUAACUGACGCUGAGGCUCGAAAGUAUGGGUAGCAAACAGGAUUAGAUACCCUGGUAGUCCAUACCGUAAACGAUGAAUGCUAAGUGUUGGGGGGUUUCCGCCCUUCAGUGCUGCGGCUAACGCAUUAAGCAUUCCGCCUGGGGGGGUACGGCCGCAGGGUGGAAAACUCAAAG